AGUGAACGCUGGCGGUAGGCCUAACACAUGCAAGUCGAACGGCAGCACAGUAAGAGCUUGCUCUUACGGGUGGCGAGUGGCGGACGGGUGAGGAAUACAUCGGAAUCUACUUUUUCGUGGGGGAUAACGUAGGGAAACUUACGCUAAUACCGCAUACGACCUACGGGUGAAAGCCGGGGAUCUUCGGACCUUGCGCGAUUGAAUGAGCCGCCGCCGGACUAGCUAGUUGGCGGGGUAAAGGCCCACCAAGGCGACGAUCCGUAGCUGGCCUGAGAGGGUGAUCAGCCACACUGGAACUGAGACACGGUCCAGACUCCUACGGGAGGCAGCAGUGGGGAAUAUUGGACAAUGGGCGCAAGCCUGAUCCAGCCAUACCGCGUGGGUGAAGAAGGCCUUCGGGUUGUAAAGCCCUUUUGUUGGGAAAGAAAAGCAGCGGGUUAAUACCCCGCUGUUCUGACGGUACCCAAAGAAUAAGCACCGGCUAACUUCGUG
rnacentral:rRNA from 1 species